rnacentral:sRNA from 1 species
AACUAGCCCCGAUUGCAGCGAAAAUCCUUUUAUUUUUUUUCUUUAAAAAAUAAAAGAUUGAAGUGAAAAGCGGGAAACCAU